rnacentral:rRNA from 1 species
GCCUGAUGCAGCAACGCCGCGUGCGGGAUGACGGCCUUCGGGUUGUAAACCGCUUUUAGUAAGGAAGAAGGGAAGCUUGCUUCUUGACGGUACUUGCAGAAAAAGGACCGGCUAACUACGUGCCAGCAGCCGCGGUAAUACGUAGGGUCCGAGCGUUGUCCGGAAUUAUUGGGCGUAAAGAGCUCGUAGGCGGUUUGUCGCGUCUGCUGUGAAAUCCCGAGGCUCAACCUCGGGUCUGCAGUGGGUACGGGCAGACUGGAGUGCGGUAGGGGAGAAUGGAAUUCCUGGUGUAGCGGUGGAAUGCGCAGAUAUCAGGAGGAACACCGAUGGCGAAGGCAGUUCUCUGGGCCGUAACUGACGCUGAGGAGCGAAAGCGUGGGGAGCGAACAGGAUUAGAUACCCUGGUAGUCCACGCCGUAAACGUUGGGCGCUAGAUGUGGGGACCUUUCCACGGUUUCCGUGUCGUAGCUAACGCAUUAAGCGCCCCGCCUGGGGAGUACGGCCGCAAGGCUAAAACUCAAAGGAAUUGACGGGGGCCCGCACAAGCGGCGGAGCAUGCGGAUUAAUUCGAUGCAACGCGAAGAACCUUACCAAGGCUUGACAUAACCGAGAACGCCGCAGAAAUGUGGAACUCUUU